rnacentral:rRNA from 1 species
UCCCGCCUGCCCAGUGACUCUUUAAACGGCCGCGGUAUCCUAACCGUGCAAAGGUAGCAUAAUCACUUGUCCCCUAAAUAGGGACUAGAAUGAACGGCUAAAUGAGGACAAAACUGUCUCUUACGGACCAACCAAUGAAAUUGAUCUUCCAGUACAAAAGCUGGAAUAAACCCAUAAGACGAGAAGACCCUGUGGAGCUUUAAAACCAAAACCACCAAACAUGUUUCUUGGUUUUUUAGUUGGGGCGACUUUGGAGAAAAAAUAAUCCUCCAAACUAUAAACCCAUUUAUUAAGAAUAACACAUCAAAAAUAAUUAAAUAGACCCAGCAACACUAUGUUGUCUGACCAAUGAACCAAGUUACCCCAGGGAUAACAGCGCCAUCCUCUUCUAGAGUCCCUAUCGACAAGGGGGUUUACGACCUCGAUGUUGGAUCAGGACACCCCUAUAGUGCAGCCGCUUUAAAAGGUUCGUUUGUUCAACGAUUAAAGUCCUACGUGAU